rnacentral:misc_RNA from 1 species
GUAGGUGAACCUGCGGAAGGAUCAUUACCGAAUUGUCGACACGAGUUGUUGCUGGUCCUCAAAUGGGGGCAUGUGCACGCUCUGUUUACACAUCCACUCACACCUGUGCACCCACUGUAGUUCUAUGGCCUGGGGGGCUCCGUCCCUUUUGCCGUGGUUCUAUGUCUUUUACAUACACGCUGUAAUAAAGUUUCACGGAAUGCAUCGUGCGUUUAACGCAAUAUAAUACAACUUUCAGCAACGGAUCUCUUGGCUCUC